GCCCUGAUUUUUUGUUAAAAAUUUUGCUUUAUAUACAGCAAAAUUGUUUGAGUGUGUAUCAAAUUAAGAUAAACAGCUGAAGGACGCCGCCAGUGCGGGAAUUUCUUGCUGCAUUGAAGACCUAUUGGUGACCUUCUGCUGUUGUCUGCUAUUUGAUUGGGUUGUUGUCUCUUUGACAUUCUUUUUUUUACCAUAUAUGAUGUCAAGGCAGCCUGUCUUUACUCUUUUAAACACAUGAUCCUAUUUCUGAUAGUUCAUAUUAUUCAGAAGAUUUAAAUUAAGGUGGUACCAAAAACACUUUCACUAAAAU
rnacentral:lncRNA from 1 species